rnacentral:rRNA from 1 species
GGAGGCAGCAGUAGGCAAUCUUCCACAAUGGACGAAAGUCUGAUGGAGCAACGCCGCGUGAGUGAAGAAGGUUUUCGGAUCGUAAAACUCUGUUGUAAGGGAAGAACACGUACGAGAGUAACUGCUCGUACCUUGACGGUACCUUAUUAGAAAGCCACGGCUAACUACGUGCCAGCAGCCGCGGUAAUACGUAGGUGGCAAGCGUUGUCCGGAAUUAUUGGGCGUAAAGCGCGCGCAGGCGGUCCUUUAAGUCUGAUGUGAAAGCCCACGGCUCAACCGUGGAGGGUCAUUGGAAACUGGGGGACUUGAGUACAGAAGAGGAAAGCGGAAUUCCACGUGUAGCGGUGAAAUGCGUAGAGAUGUGGAGGAACACCAGUGGCGAAGGCGGCUUUCUGGUCUGUAACUGACGCUGAGGCGCGAAAGCGUGGGGAGCAAACAGGAUUAGAUACCCUGGUAGUCCACGCCGUAAACGAUGAGUGCUAAGUGUUAGGGGGUUUCCGCCCCUUAGUGCUGCAGCUAACGCAUUAAGCACUCCGCCUGGGGAGUACGGCCGCAAGGCUGAAACUCAAAGGAAUUGACGGGGGCCCGCACAAUCGGUGGAGCAUGUGGUUUAAUUCUAAGCUAACGCGAAGAACCUUACCAGGUCUUGACAUCCCCCUGACCGGCUUAGAAAUAAUUCUUUCCCUUCUGGGACAGUGGUGACAGGUGGUGGCUGGCUGUUCUUCAGCUCAUGUCGUGAGAUGUUGAGUUAAAUCCCGCAAUCAAGCGCAACUCUUGGUUCU